AAACUUUGCAAUGUGCGAAAGCACGACAAGGUUAAUCCGAGUGUUUUCUGCUAAAGAAAUCUUUUGUUAGUUCUAAAACCACUAUCGAAUAAGGGGUGGGCAAGUUCUGGUGUCAGCCGCCGCGGUAAAACCAGCACCUCAAGUGGUCAGGAUGAUUAUUGGGCCUAAAGCAUCCGUAGCCGGCUAUGUUAGUUUUCGGUUAAAUCCAUGUGCUCAACACAUGGGCUGUCGAAAAUACUGCAUAGCUAGGGAGUGGGAGAGGUAGACGGUACUCUGUAGGAAGGGGUAAAAUCCUUUGAUCUAUAGAUGACCACCAGUGGCGAAGGCGGUCUACCAGAACAUGUCCGACGGUGAGGGAUGAAAGCUGGGGGAGCAAACCGG
rnacentral:rRNA from 1 species